rnacentral:rRNA from 1 species
CCGGUUGAUCCUGCCAGAGGUCACUGCUAUCGGGGUUCGAUUAAGCCAUGCGAGUCGAGAGGGUUCGGCCCUCGGCGUACUACUCAGUAACACGUGGAUAACCUGCCCUAAGGAAGGGGAUAACCUCGGGAAACUGAGGAUAAUACCCUAUAGGUUACAGACGCUGGAAUGCCCUGUAACCGAAAGUUCCGGCGCCUUAGGAUGGAUCUGCGGCCGAUUAGGUUGUUGUUGGGGUAACGGCCCAACAAGCCGAUAAUCGGUACGGGUUGUGGGAGCAAGAGCCCGGAGUUGGAUUCUGAGACAUGAAUCCAGGCCCUACGGGGCGCAGCAGGCGCGAAAACUUUACAAUGCGGGAAACCGUGAUAAGGGAACUCCGAGUGCCUGUAUAUGCAGGCUGUCCAGGUGUCUAAAAAACACCUGAAGAAAGGGCCGGGCAAGACCGGUGCCAGCCGCCGCGGUAAUACCGGCGGCUCGAGUGGUGGCCACUUUUAUUGGGCUUAAAGCGUUCGUAGCUGGGUUGUUAAGUCUCUUGGGAAAUCUGACGGCUCAACCGUCAGGCGUCCAAGGGAUACUGGCAAUCUUGGAACCGGGAGAGGUGAGGGGUACUUCGGGGGUUAGGAGUGAAAUCCUGUAAUCCUCGAGGGACCACCUGUGGCGAAGGCGCCUCACCAGAACGGCUUCGACAGA